CUUCCGCAGCACAAGCUUAACGCCUCAGGUCCCUGUCUUCCACAGCGCAAGUUCAUCUCCCCUCGUUCCAGUCUCUACUAAUGCCCAAGAAGAUCUUGAGGAGCAAACUCAUGGAAGAAUACUUCAAGCCAACUGAAGACCAACUCUUGGUCAGGUGCAAAUUGAUUACCAGCUAUUUCCUGAAUCUCCUUUAGUGGGACCUUGUGCAAUCAUAAGCUGGUCAACCAGAAAUAAGUUGCUUUUACAGCACCAUUAGUAGGAAUUUUGUACCCAUUAGUACUGAUGGAUCUGCCAUUUUAGUCCGAAAUUAGUUACAUUAUUGGUCACUGCAGAUGUGUCUGCAUUCUUAAUUAGGUCUGUAGGCCAAGUUGUUUAGACAAAUAGACAACAAGAGGACUUCAGCCGAUGUGGGUUCUUUGUUGUGAUAAUUGCAUCUGUGCUGUAUAAUCAUCCUUUGAAGUGAAUGAUUUCAUCUUAAAGUGACACAGAAUCGAAUUACUAUUCAUUGCCUAAAUAAAAAGCAUAAGAUUGUCGGGGAA